rnacentral:rRNA from 1 species
AGCUCGUGUCGUGAGAUGUUGGGUUAAGUCCCGCAACGAGCGCAACCCUUGUCAUUAGUUGCUACAUUUAGUUGGGCACUCUAAUGAGACUGCCGUGACAAACCGGAGGAAGGUGGGGAUGACGUCAAGUCCUCAUGGCCCUUAUAGGUAGGGCUACACACGUCAUACAAUGGAUGGUACAAAGGGUCGCCAACCCGCGAGGGGGAGCCAAUCCCAUAAAACCAUUCGUAGUCCGGAUCGCAGUCUGCAACUCGACUGCGUGAAGUCGGAAUCGCUAGUAAUCGUGGAUCAGAAUGUCACGGUGAAUACGUUCCCGGGUCUU